UUUUUUUUUUUUUGCAAUAUUUGACCCUAUAUGACCUACCCAGGUACAGCUUGGUAUCAUAUUUCAAAUGCUUUAUUUCCAUAGGUGAAGAAUUUAUCUCCCCAUCUGCUGUACCCCAACAACCCCCACAGCCCAGCUCAUGUAAAUGGGCAGACACAAAAAGAAAAUGUUGAAAUCCUAAAAAACAAAAACAAACAAACAAACAAAAAACCCCCAAAUUAGGAUACUGAUCAUAAAGGGAAUUUUUCAUCUUUGAAGUGAAUGAUGAAAGUAUCAGGUCACGUGGGUGGAAGAGACACUGACAUAUUUUUUAGCUGCUGCACAUGAGCCAUAAUUUUAAAAUACCCAUAUGAAGCCUUAACUGUGAUUUUGUUUCUUUCAUUGCACUAUGUAGCCCUUCCUCCAAAUAUACGUCAUUAGUCCUCUACCAGAUACCAAAUCCUCUCUCUAACCAGCUGCUAAUAAGACACACAUAAGAGAUAGCGGAGAACAAGGAUGAAAGUUCUUUGUGCUAACUUAUCAUGAGAAUAGAGGCAACAUAUCAACUUAGGAUGCAUCAAAAGAAGGAAUGCUUAAAACAAGUCAACUACAAAGAGCAGGAAUUUAAAAAAAAAAUCUAUGACAACAGUUUGAUGCAAGAGUUUUCAUAAAGCCCAUUAAUAAACACACAGCAGGCACUCAAUACACAGUUAUUGAAUUGAACUAAUGAUGGUUCCAGUUUCUUAAACUCUCUCUGAAUAGCUUAGUCUUCACUAGGAUUGCAGGUAACCUCUUUCCCUUUUACCCUCUAUCUCCCCAACCAAAAGUAGUCUACAAGCAUCAAAAGAUGAAACCAAUGCAAUUUUUGAGGACAAAUCCUAGCUCAUGAAUUCUGUAUAUAGGAUGAGUCUUCAGAGGGAACUAAGGAUCUGUUCCACAUUUGUCCCCAAGUUCAAGGGGAACUGACACACAACUUACAGAAGUUUUCUUUCUGAGAGAUCUGGUUUAGUCCAUGCAAGAGCCAGUCUUAACAAAAGGGCAUCUUAGGAAUUACUCUCCCCAAGGUUUCAAAGUAGUGAAGUGUAAUGGGCAAAUCUUGGUACUUUCACAAAUCAUAUAGGUAAUAGUCUGAUAUUUUCUUAAUUUUCUCCUCUUAUCUUCUUACCUCCUGAAGACAAACGCUUCUUUUAACAAUGAUUUUAACCUAUCCAGACCUGACUACGUUGCAUGAAUGUUUUAUCUGUAAAAUACAUCGUGAAGAAUAUAGCAAUUGCCUCCAAUUAUUGGAAUAUAACUGAUUUUAAUUAUUUAUAUCUUUUAGCUUUGUUUACUUUCCAGAUGAUUUGGAGAGAACAAAGCUUCUCAUAGAGAAUGAGUGUGAUUAGGAAAGUGGUUAAAGGAAAUGAGUGGAGAGCCUUCCAUAGUUUCUUUAGAUUGUGGGAAGCUACCAAAUACUCAAUAAAGAAAUCAGUGCUACCUGAACAGUGACUCUGGUGUUUGCUCUUUUAUUUCCGAUGCCCCAGAUUAAGUCCUCAUCACCUCUUGCUAGACUGUUGUGAUAGUCACCUUAUCUGGCCUCUCAGUCUCCUCUCUCUCUUCUUCAAUCCAUCUUGUGUCAAUCACAUAACCAAGAAAUGUGUACCUGGAGUUCCCGUUGUGGUUCAGUGGUUAACGAAUCCGACUAGGAACCAUGAGGUUGUGGGUUCGAUCCCUGGCCUCGAUCAGUGCUGUGAACUGUGGUGUAGGUCACAGACGUGGCUCAGAUCCCGAGUUGCUCUCGGGAUCCGAUCCGAAUCUGCGACCUACACCACAGCUCACAGCAACUACAGAUCCUUAACCCACUGAGCAAGGCCAGGGAUGGAACCCACAACCUCAUGGUUCCUAAUCAGAUUCGUCAACCACUGAGCCACGAUAGGAACUCCAGUCUUGUGUAUUAUUAAGGCAACAUUAACACAAAUUACCAAGAAGUACGGAACUUACUUUGACUUCACGCUGGAAACCUUGACACUAAUUUGAGCAUUUAAUAUUUUGAAACAUCUUCUGGUGGCAUACAAAAUUUUGGAUGACAAAUCUAAUGAAAUAAAGACAAUCCACAAAGGUCCUUGUCACAUUUUUUUCUUGAGAAAAGGGCACCGCACAGUGGAAUUUCUUAGCUCUCAAGAUGAAUUUGGCAUGACAGCUGUGGAAUUGGGUUAGCCAAGAAAGCCUGAGGGUUAAGUGAGAAAUCUUGAGGUGGAUGAGUUCUUUGAAAUAAAGCAUCCCAUAAAGGAAGGAGGGUCUACUUAUUACCCAGGCAUACAAAACUUCCAGGAAGAAGUGUUACAAUUAUUUGUUCCUAUACAUCAACAGAGUGGUGGAUUGCCCUUUGGGUCGACUAGUUGCUUUCUCCGCCCUCUAUGACUUAGAUACAGUUAUAUUUCCUCUUCUAUCAUAGGCUGGGGCCAUGAUGCAGUCAUGGAGUUGAGCUUGAAGACUGCCAAAUGAAGUGUUCGAGGGACUGUAGGAGGAAAAGGACAUGGUAGAACAGCAGUCCUGAGGCUAUUUGAAAGGCAGGGGGGCAGGGGUCUGGAGGAGGUGGGGCAUUGUCAGGAGAGGGCUGGCCAACUGCCCAGACAGGUCCUUAGGUCCC
rnacentral:lncRNA from 1 species